rnacentral:rRNA from 1 species
UUCGGAAGUGAUUAAAGUGGCGCACGGGUGAGUAACGCGUAGAUAAUCUGCCCUUCAGUCCGGGACAACUUUCCGAAAGGGGAGCUAAUACCGGAUAACAAUGUUUAACAUAAGUUUAAUAUUUGAAAGCUCCGGUGCUGAUGGAUGAGUCUGCGUCCCAUUAGCUUGUUGGUGCGGUAGUGGCGCACCAAGGCUGCGAUGGGUAGCGGGUUUGAGAGGACGAUCCGCCACACUGGAACUGAGACACGGUCCAGACUCCUACGGGAGGCAGCAGUGGGGAAUAUUGCACAAUGGAGGAAACUCUGAUGCAGCAAUGCCGCGUGAGUGAAGAAGGCCCUUGGGUCGUAAAGCUCUUUUAUGGGGGAAGAUGAUGACGGUACCCCAAGAAUAAGCACCGGCUAACUACGUGCCAGCAGCCGCGGUAAUACGUAGGGUGCGAGCGUUGUUCGGGAUUACUGGGCGUAAAGGGC